rnacentral:rRNA from 1 species
GAUGAACGCUAGCUACAGGCUUAACACAUGCAAGUCGAGGGGAAACGAUAUUGGAAGCUUGCUUCCGAUAGGCGUCGACCGGCGCACGGGUGAGUAACGCGUAUCCAACCUGCCCACCACUUGGGGAUAACCUUGCGAAAGUAAGACUAAUACCCAAUGAUAUCUCUAGAAGACAUCUGAAGGAGAUUAAAGAUUUAUCGGUGAUGGAUGGGGAUGCGUCUGAUUAGCUUGUUGGCGGGGUAACGGCCCACCAAGGCGACGAUCAGUAGGGGUUCUGAGAGGAAGGUCCCCCACAUUGGAACUGAGACACGGUCCAAACUCCUACGGGAGGCAGCAGUGAGGAAUAUUGGUCAAUGGACGAGAGUCUGAACCAGCCAAGUAGCGUGCAGGAUGACGGCCCUAUGGGUUGUAAACUGCUUUUAUAAGGGAAUAAAGUGAGCCUCGUGAGGCUUUUUGCAUGUACCUUAUGAAUAAGGACCGGCUAAUUCCGUGCCAGCCGCCGCCGUAA